GGGUUGUGAGGUUAAGCGACUAAGCGUACACGGUGGAUGCCCUGGCAGUCAGAGGCGAUGAAGGACGUGCUAAUCUGCGUAAAGCGACGGUAAGGUGAUAUGAACCGCUACAGCCGUCGAUGUCCGAAUGGGGAAACCCGGUGCACUCAGUGCAUCAUUGCAGCAUGAAUACAUAGUGCUGCAAGGCGAACCGGGGGAACUGAAACAUCUAAGUACCCCGAGGAAAAGAAAUCAACCGAGAUUCCCCCAGUAGCGGCGAGCGAACGGGGAGCAGCCCAGAGCCUGAAUCAGCUUGUGUGUUAGUGGAAGCGUCUGGAAAGUCGCAGGGUACAGGGUGAUACUCCCGUACACAAAAACACACAGGCUGUGAGCUCGAUGAGUAAGGCGGGACACGUGGUAUCCUGUCUGAAUAUGGGGGGACCAUCCUCCAAGGCUAAAUACUCCUGACUGACCGAUAGUGAACCAGUACCGUGAGGGAAAGGCGAAAAGAACCCCGGCGAGGGGAGUGAAACAGAACCUGAAACCGUGUACGUACAAGCAGUGGGAGCCUUCUUUAUGGGGGUGACUGCGUACCUUUUGUAUAAUGGGUCAGCGACUUAUAUUCUGUAGCAAGGUUAACCGUAUAGGGGAGCCGCAGGGAAACCGAGUCUUAACUGGGCGUUAAGUUGCAGGGUAUAGACCCGAAACCCGGUGAUCUAGCCAUGGGCAGGUUGAAGGUUGGGUAACACUAACUGGAGGACCGAACCGACUAAUGUUGAAAAAUUAGCGGAUGACCUGUGGCUGGGGGUGAAAGGCCAAUCAAACCGGGAGAUAGCUGGUUCUCCCCGAAAGCUAUUUAGGUAGCGCCUCGUGAACUCAUCUUCGGGGGUAGAGCACUGUUUCGGCUAGGGGGCCAUCCCGGCUUACCAACCCGAUGCAAACUGCGAAUACCGAAGAAUGUUAUCACGGGAGACACACGGCGGGUGCUAACGUCCGUCGUGAAGAGGGAAACAACCCAGACCGCCAGCUAAGGUCCCAAAGUCAUGGUUAAGUGGGAAACGAUGUGGGAAGGCACAGACAGCCAGGAUGUUGGCUUAGAAGCAGCCAUCAUUUAAAGAAAGCGUAAUAGCUCACUGGUCGAGUCGGCCUGCGCGGAAGAUGUAACGGGGCUAAACCAUGCACCGAAGCUGCGGCAGCGACACUAUGUGUUGUUGGGUAGGGGAGCGUUCUGUAAGCCGUCGAAGGUGUGCUGUGAGGCAUGCUGGAGGUAUCAGAAGUGCGAAUGCUGACAUAAGUAACGAUAAAGCGGGUGAAAAGCCCGCUCGCCGGAAGACCAAGGGUUCCUGUUCAACGUUAAUCGGAGCAGGGUGAGUCGACCCCUAAGGCGAGGCCGAAAGGCGUAGUCGAUGGGAAACAGGUUAAUAUUCCUGUACUUGGUGUUACUGCGAAGGGGGGACGGAGAAGGCUAUAUCGGCCGGGCGACGGUUGUCCCGGUUUAAGCGUGUAGGUGUGUGUUCCAGGCAAAUCCGGUUCACUUUACACUGAGGCGUGACGACGAGGCACUACGGUGCUGAAGUGAUAAAUGCCCUGCUUCCAGGAAAAGCCUCUAAGCAUCAGGUAACACAAAAUCGUACCCCAAACCGACACAGGUGGUCAGGUAGAGAAUACCAAGGCGCUUGAGAGAACUCGGGUGAAGGAACUAGGCAAAAUGGUGCCGUAACUUCGGGAGAAGGCACGCUGGCACGUAGGUGGAGGGACUUGCUCCCCGAGCCGAAGCCAGUCGAAGAUACCAGCUGGCUGCAACUGUUUAUUAAAAACACAGCACUGUGCAAACACGAAAGUGGACGUAUACGGUGUGACGCCUGCCCGGUGCCGGAAGGUUAAUUGAUGGGGUUAUCCGUAAGGAGAAGCUCUUGAUCGAAGCCCCGGUAAACGGCGGCCGUAACUAUAACGGUCCUAAGGUAGCGAAAUUCCUUGUCGGGUAAGUUCCGACCUGCACGAAUGGCGUAAUGAUGGCCAGGCUGUCUCCACCCGAGACUCAGUGAAAUUGAACUCGCUGUGAAGAUGCAGUGUACCCGCGGCAAGACGGAAAGACCCCGUGAACCUUUACUACAGCUUGACACUGAACAUUGAGCCUUGAUGUGUAGGAUAGGUGGGAGGCUUUGAAGCGCGGACGCCAGUCUGCGUGGAGCCAACCUUGAAAUACCACCCUUUAAUGUUUGAUGUUCUAACGUGGCCCCGUAAUCCGGGGUGCGGACAGUGUCUGGUGGGUAGUUUGACUGGGGCGGUCUCCUCCUAAAGCGUAACGGAGGAGCACGAAGGUCAGCUAAUCACGGUCGGACAUCGUGAGGUUAGUGCAAUGGCAUAAGCUGGCUUGACUGCGAGAGUGACGGCUCGAGCAGGUGCGAAAGCAGGUCAUAGUGAUCCGGUGGUUCUGAAUGGAAGGGCCAUCGCUCAACGGAUAAAAGGUACUCCGGGGAUAACAGGCUGAUACCGCCCAAGAGUUCAUAUCGACGGCGGUGUUUGGCACCUCGAUGUCGGCUCAUCACAUCCUGGGGCUGAAGUAGGUCCCAAGGGUACGGCUGUUCGCCGUUUAAAGUGGUACGCGAGCUGGGUUUAGAACGUCGUGAGACAGUUCGGUCCCUAUCUGCCGUGGGCGCUGGAGAAUUGAGGGGGGUUGCUCCUAGUACGAGAGGACCGGAGUGAACGCACCACUGGUGUUCGGGUUGUCAUGCCAAUGGCAUUGCCCGGUAGCUAAGUGCGGAAAAGAUAAGUGCUGAAAGCAUCUAAGCACGAAACUUGCCCCGAGAUGAGUUCUCCCUGACCCUUUAAGGGUCCUGAAGGGACGUUGAAGACGACGACGUUGAUAGGCCGGAUGUGUAAGCGCAGCGAUGCGUUGAGCUAACCGGUACUAAUGACCCGUGAGGCUUAACCUUACAACGCCAGAGGCGUUU
rnacentral:rRNA from 1 species